rnacentral:rRNA from 1 species
AUGGUUAAGUUAGAAAGGGCGCACGGUGGAUGCCUUGGCACUAGGAGCCGAUGAAGGACGGGACGAACACCGAUAUGCUUCGGGGAGCUGUAAGCAAGCUUUGAUCCGGAGAUUUCCGAAUGGGGAAACCCACUGCUCGUAAUGGAGUAGUAUCCAUACUUGAAUACAUAGAGUAUGAGAAGGCAUACCCGGGGAACUGAAACAUCUAAGUACCCGGAGGAAGAGAAAGCAAAUGCGAUUCCCUGAGUAGCGGCGAGCGAAACGGGAACAGCCCAAACCAAGAGGCUUGCCUCUUGGGGUUGUAGGACACUCUAUACGGAGUUACAAAGGAACGAUAUAAGCGAAGAGGUCUGGAAAGGCCCGCCAAAGAAGGUAACAGCCCUGUAACUGAAAUGUUGUUCUCUCCAGAGUGGAUCCUGAGUACGGCGGAACACGUGAAAUUCCGUCGGAAUCCGGGAGGACCAUCUCCCAAGGCUAAAUACUCCCUAGUGACCGAUAGUGAACCAGUACCGUGAGGGAAAGGUGAAAAGCACCCCGGAAGGGGAGUGAAAUAGAUCCUGAAACCGUGUGCCUACAAGUAGUCAGAGCCCGUUAAAGGGUGAUGGCGUGCCUUUUGUAGAAUGAACCGGCGAGUUACGAUCCCGUGCAAGGUUAAGCAGAAGAUGCGGAGCCGCAGCGAAAGCGAGUCUGAAUAGGGCGCAUGAGUACGUGGUCGUAGACCCGAAACCAGGUGAUCUACCCAUGUCCAGGGUGAAGUUCAGGUAACACUGAAUGGAGGCCCGAACCCACGCACGUUGAAAAGUGCGGGGAUGAGGUGUGGGUAGGGGUGAAAUGCCAAUCGAACCUGGAGAUAGCUGGUUCUCUCCGAAAUAGCUUUAGGGCUAGCCUCAAGGUAAGAGUCUCGGAGGUAGAGCACUGAUUGGACUAGGGGCCCCUACCGGGUUACCGAAUUCAGUCAAACUCCGAAUGCCGAUGACUUAUCCUUGGGAGUCAGACUGCGAGUGAUAAGAUCCGUAGUCGAAAGGGAAACAGCCCAGACCGCCAGCUAAGGUCCCAAAGUAUACGUUAAGUGGAAAAGGAUGUGGAGUUGCUUAGACAACCAGGAUGUUGGCUUAGAAGCAGCCACCAUUUAAAGAGUGCGUAAUAGCUCACUGGUCGAGUGACUCUGCGCCGAAAAUGUACCGGGGCUAAACGUAUCACCGAAGCUGCGGACUGUUCUAACGAACAGUGGUAGGAGAGCGUUCUAAGUGCUGUGAAGUCAGACCGGAAGGACUGGUGGAGCGCUUAGAAGUGAGAAUGCCGGUAUGAGUAGCGAAAGACGGGUGAGAAUCCCGUCCACCGAAUGCCUAAGGUUUCCUGAGGAAGGCUCGUCCGCUCAGGGUUAGUCGGGACCUAAGCCGAGGCCGAAAGGCGUAGGCGAUGGACAACAGGUUGAUAUUCCUGUACCACCUCCUCACCAUUUGAGCAAUGGGGGGACGCAGGAGGAUAGGGUAAGCGCGGUAUUGGAUAUCCGCGUCCAAGCAGUUAGGCUGGGAAAUAGGCAAAUCCGUUUCCCGUGAAGGCUGAGCUGUGAUGGCGAGCGAAAUUUAGUAGCGAAGUUCCUGAUUCCACACUGCCAAGAAAAGCCUCUAGCGAGGUGAGAGGUGCCCGUACCGCAAACCGACACAGGUAGGCGAGGAGAGAAUCCUAAGGUGAUCGAGAGAACUCUCGUUAAGGAACUCGGCAAAAUGACCCCGUAACUUCGGGAGAAGGGGUGCUUCUUAGGGUGUUAAAGCCCCGAGAAGCCGCAGUGAAUAGGCCCAGGCGACUGUUUAGCAAAAACACAGGUCUCUGCG